rnacentral:tRNA from 1 species
GCAGCAGUAGCUCAGCGCCAGAGC